rnacentral:rRNA from 1 species
CACGUAGUUAGCCGGUGCUUUUUCUGCAGGUACCGUCACUUUCGCUUCUUCCCUGCUAAAAAGAGGUUUACAACCCGAAGGCCGUCGUCCCUCACGCGGCGUUGCUGCAUCAGGCUUUCGCCCAUUGUGCAAUAUUCCCCACUGCUGCCUCCCGUAGGAGUCUGGGCCGUGUCUCAGUCCCAGUGUGGCCGGUCACCCUCUCAGGCCGGCUACCCGUCGUCGCCUUGGUGAGCCAUUACCUCACCAACAAGCUGAUAGGCCGCGAGUCCAUCCUUGACCAAAACUUCUUUCCAGCAACUCACCAUGCGGUGGAAGCUCGUAUCCGGUAUUAGACGUCGUUUCCAACGCUUAUCCCAGAGUCAAGGGCAGGUUACUCACGUGUUACUCACCCGUUCGCCACUAAUCCACCCAGCAAGCUGGGCUUCAUCGUUCGACUUGCAUGUGUUAAGCACGCCGCCAGCGUCGUCCUCGAGCACGGAGUCAACUAC